rnacentral:rRNA from 1 species
UGGCUCAGGAUGAACGCUGGCGGCGUGCCUAACACAUGCAAGUCGAACGGAAAUCAGGCGCUUCGGAGACUUCGGUCAAUGUUGCCUGGUUUAGUGGCGGACGGGUGAGUAACGCGUGGAUAACCUGCCUCAUACAGGGGGAUAACAGUUAGAAAUGACUGCUAAUACCGCAUAAGCGCACGGGAUCGCAUGGUCCUGUGUGAAAAACUCCGGUGGUAUGAGAUGGAUCCGCGUCUGAUUAGCUAGUUGGCGGGGUAACAGCCCACCAAGGCGACGAUCAGUAGCCGGCCUGAGAGGGUGAACGGCCACAUUGGGACUGAGACACGGCCCAAACUCCUACGGGAGGCAGCAGUGGGGGAUAUUGCACAAUGGGGGAAACCCUGAUGCAGCCGACGCCGCGUGAGUGAAGAAGUAUUUCGGUAUGUAAAGCUCUAUCAGCAGGGAAGAUAAUGACGGUACCUGACUAAGAAGCACCGGCUAAAUACGUGCCAGCCGCCGC